CCGUAUGUUGUCAUGUUGAUGCAUAUUUUCAUGACCAAAGGCUUCGGCCGGUAAAGGAUGGGGAUGCGUCUGAUUAGCUUGCCGGCGGGGUAACGGCCCACCGGGGCGACGAUCAGUAGGGGUUCUGAGAGGAAGGUCCCCCACAUUGGAACUGAGACACGGUCCAAACUCCUACGGGAGGCAGCAGUGAGGAAUAUUGGUCAAUGGGCGCGAGCCUGAACCAGCCAAGUAGCGUGCAGGACGACGGCCCUAUGGGUUGUAAACUGCUUUUAUACGGGGAUAAAGUAUGCCACGUGUGGUUUAUUGCAGGUACCGUAUGAAUAAGGACCGGCUAAUUCCGUGCCAGCAGCCGCGGUAAUACGGAAGGUCCGGGCGUUAUCCGGAUUUAUUGGGUUUAAAGGGAGCGUAGGCCGGGUUUUAAGCGUGCCGUGAAAUGUCGGGGCUCAACCUUGACACUGCGGCGCGAACUGGAGUCCUUGAGUGCGCGGAACGUAUGCGGAAUUCGUGGUGUAGCGGUGAAAUGCUUAGAUAUCACGAAGAACCCCGAUUGCGAAGGCAGCAUACGGCAGCGCUACUGACGCUGAAGCUCGAAGGCGCGGGUAUCGAACAGGAUUAGAUACCCUGGUAGUCCGCGCGGUAAACGAU
rnacentral:rRNA from 1 species